UAGGGAAUCUUCCACAAUGGACGAAAGUCUGAUGGAGCAACGCCGCGUGAGUGAAGAAGGUUUUCGGAUCGUAAAGCUCUGUUGUUGGUGAAGAAGGAUAGAGGCAGUAACUGGUCUUUAUUUGACGGUAAUCAACCAGAAAGUCACGGCUAACUACGUGCCAAG
rnacentral:rRNA from 1 species